GUCUAUGGCCAUGCCACCCUGAACAUGCCUGAUCCCAUCUGAUUUUGGAAGCUAAGCAGGGUUGGGCCUGGUUAGUACUUAGAUGGGAGACCACUUAGGAAGACCGGGCGCUAUAGGCA
rnacentral:rRNA from 1 species